rnacentral:tRNA from 1 species
ACUUACGUAGUAUAUUAUAGUACUUGAUCUUUUCGCGAUCAGAGAAGAGGUAACUUUCGUAAGUU